CCAACAAUUGCGGGCGGGUUUUCGGCUGAUUGUCCCUCCUCUAUCGCGAGAGAACAGCCGUAGCAUCUGUUAGGUGAAACACCAGAAUUUCAAAGUGCAUACCAAAAUUACAUUUCAAAAUGUUCGGAUUUGGCCGAAGAAAGUUUCUCUCCUUUCCACUGGUUAUUGGUGCAGCCAUUAUUGGUGUUGUUUCUGGUAAAUCAAUAUUUGGACCUCCACUUGAUGAGUACUGGAAAAAGAAGCGUCAGGAAGAAGAAGCGGCUGCCGCCGCUGCUACUGCUACGGUUAAAGAAAAUGACUCAAACCUAACAUUGCUUGUUGAAGAGGAUUGAACUCUUAUAGAGGUUACAGUUAUACUUCACAUUAUGAAUUCUUUUUUGUUUUGUUUUGUUUUCUUCACAUUACUUUUAUAUAGGACUUGAUUUAUUGAAAAGUAAAUGUAUUAUAGCUCUUGUUAACUACCAUUUACCAAAUUAUUACUAGCAAUAAUCUAUGUUAUUAAAAUCAGCUGUUAUCUCGGCACAGAACAGCAAUAAUGAGAUUGAAUUCGGAAUGACGCCGCAUUCGGCCGUGUCAGCAGUUUAAGAUAUUACCCUUAAAUGUUUAAGGAUAGCAAGGUUAUUUAUUGAAUUUUAUUGGAUUUGCAAGUAUGUUUUGCUUAAUA